UACGUAUGGGGCGAGCGUUGUUCGGAAUUAUUGGGUGUAAAGGGCGUCUAGGCGGGAGAUUAAGUUAGAUGUGAAAGGAGUGAGCUUAACCCACGAAUUGCAUCUAAAACUGGUUUUCUUGAGUUCGGGAGAGGAGAGCGGAAUUCUUGGUGUAGCGGUGAAAUGCGUAGAUAUCAAGAAGAACACCAGUGGCGAAGGCGGCUCUCUGGCCUAGAACUGACGCUGAAGCGCGAAAGCGUGGGUAGCGAACGGGAUUAGAUACCCGCGUAGUCCCUGA
rnacentral:rRNA from 1 species